GCCCCCAUAGCCCAAUUGGUAGAGGCAAGCGACUUAAAAUCGCUGUGUUGUCAGUUCGAGUCUGACUGGGGGUA
rnacentral:tRNA from 1 species